rnacentral:rRNA from 1 species
ACCAGACUCCUACGGGAGGCAGCAGUGGGGGAUAUUGCACAAUGGGGGAAACCCUGAUGCAGCGACGCCGCGUGGGUGAAGAAGUAUUUCGGUAUGUAAAGCCCUAUCAGCAGGGAAGAAGAAAUGACGGUACCUGAGUAAGAAGCACCGGCUAAAUACGUGCCAGCAGCCGCGGUAAUACGUAGGGGGCAAGCGUUAUCCGGAUUUACUGGGUGUAAAGGGGGCGCAGACGGCAGCGCAAGCCAGGAGUGAAAGCCCGGGGCCCAACCCCGGGACUGCUCUUGGAACUGCGCGGCUGGAGUGCAGGAGGGGCAGGCGGAAUUCCUGGUGUAGCGGUGAAAUGCGUAGAUAUCAGGAGGAACACCGGUGGCGAAGGCGGCCUGCUGGACUGCGACUGACGUUGAGGCCCGAAAGCGUGGGGAGCAAACAGGAUUAGAUACCCGAGUA